GGCCAAUGAUGUACUAAUUGCACGUAUUACCAGAUAUAUAAUUUGAUGAUUAAUGCUAAUUGUCACUACCGCUGAGGCC